GGUCUUAAAUAACGGGAAGGGUAUAUAAGAAACUAACGAGUUUGUCUAGUAGACUGAGGGCUGCCGCUAAACCUGUUCAAUGGGUUAGGGGCCCAUUUAAAGCCCUAGUCCAACCUUUUUAUAAAAACCCCAUCCAACAUUUAAAUGGGGAGGACUUUUAAAGGGCUAUUAAAUAAUGGGCUUUAAAUGGUUGGGUCUAAGUUAAAAAGGGCUGAAAUUAGAUAACACUUAUAAGGUUUUUUUAUCCUAAAUUUUCUGUUUAUUUCUAAAACUUUCUAACGUCAGUUUCAAAAAAAAAAAUUCCUUUAUAAAUCCCCUAUUUCCCCCAAAUGAUGAACCUAAAAAAAUUCCCAAAUUCUAAAUCUUCAAUUUAUCACCUUCUUGCUUGCCGCUUUCAAUCGUUGAUUCCGUCAUAUUACUUCAAUUACCAAGUUUUUUUAACCAUGGAAAGUGAAGCAACUACAAUGUCUAUGCCGGUAGAUGAUGAGGUUGAUGAAUCUAAUGCCGCCCGUAAGCGUAAAAGGAGUAGGAAAUCUAAAGUUUGCCGAGAAAUGACGGAAGGAAAGAAUACAAAAGGUGAGAGAAUCGCUAUUUGUAAGCACUGUAAAGUGGAGUUAAUUGCCCACAAUAAUAGUGGCACAUCUCAUUUAAUACGUCAUUUUCUUGAUGUGUGUAAAAAACGAACUAGUGGACUUCCACUUGGGGAGGCGGUUGAGGAUGAGGAAGAAUUUGUUUUUGAUAUGAGUGAAUUAAGAAAAGAGAUUUUAUUAUAUGUUGUUGAAGGCUCUCAUUCUUUUUCGACCGUAGAAGAAAAAGGUUUUAGGCGGAUGAUGUUAAAGGCUAAUUCUAAAUUUAAACUAUUUAGUCGAGCAACUUUAACGAGAGACCUUUUUUCUUUGUAUGCCUCUUAUAGAGAGAAAAUAAAAAAAAAAUUUGAGGAAUGCACCCGGACGAAUUUGUUUGACAACUGAUAAUUGAAAAUCAUCACACACUUGGUAACAUUACAUUUGCAUAACCGCCCAUUUUAUUGAUCAUGAUUGGAAACUUCAUAAAAGGAUUAUUAAGUUCACAUCAUUGUCUCCCCCCUUUGAUGGACAAAGCAUCUCCGAAGAGAUUUUUAUUUUUCUUAAUCAAUGGCAUUUAGAUGAUAAAGUGCUUAGCUUAACGGUUGACAAUGCAAGUUACAAUGAUGUGAUGGUUAAACACAUGAAAAAUAGUCUUGGGUCAAGGGGUAUGUUGGUUAGUGGUGGUUGUUUUUUUCAUAUAAGAUGUUGUGCUCAUAUCAUCAAUAUUAUUGUCCAAUCCGGUCUAUCGUGUAUUGAGAACAUAUUAGAUAAGAUUAGAAACUUGGUAAAAUAUGUUACAAGAUCAUCUUCUAGAAGCAAGGACUUUUAUGAUACCGCUCAAAAGCAUUUUCAUUUAGACGCUAAGAGGAAACUUCGUAUGGACAUGCAAGUUCGUUGGAACUCUACAUAUAUGAUGCUUGAUAAUGUGCUUUACUAUAAAGAUGUGUUUAUUCAUUUGGGGUCAUUUCAUGCAUCUUUCAAGAGUAAUGUGCCUUUGGAUGAUGAAUGGGAAAAUUUGAGUGUUGUUCACAAGUUUUUGAAACUCUUUUAUGAUGUUACAUGUAUGUUCUCGGCCAAUAAGUCUCCAACUUCUAACAUGUAUUUUAAGGGAGCAUGUAUGGUGCAUCGUCGUUUACUUGAGACAUCUAAAGGUCCACAUGAAUUUUUAGCACAAAUGGUGUUACCUAUGUUGGAAAAAUUUGACAAAUAUUGGUCCGAGUAUAACAUAUAUCUAGCUUGUACGACAAUUCUUGAUCCAAGGUUUAAGUUAAAGUUUGUGGAGUAUUGUUUUGACAAGAUAUAUGGUUUGGAUGAGGCUAUGUGAAAAGUUGAAAAAGUGUUGAACAAUUUAAGAUCUUUGUAUAAUGAGUAUAAGUCAACAUUUUCAACUUCCCCAAUUGUUGCUCCCUCUACUACAAGUAGUAGGAUCGAAGAUGAAAACUUCUUUGAUGAUUAUCAAAGCUAUAGUUCAAGAAUUACAAGGACUCAAACAAAAAAGUCCCAACUUGAGUCAUAUUUGGAGGAAUCGGAGCUUGAUUUGAACAUGGAGCUAGAUAUUUUAGAGUAUUGGCAAAAAAUGCCGUGAUAUUUCCGGAGCUUGCAAUGUUGGCACGAGAUCUUCUAACAAUUCUGGUUAGUACGGUGGCUUCCGAGUCGGCUUUUAGUGUUGGGGAGAUAACUAUAUCUCCUAAUCGUAGCUCAUUGAAACCCUCAACGGUUCAAGCCCUAGUUUGUGUUCAAGAUUGGCGUCGUGAUGAAUAUAACAUCCCUUCAAAUUUGGAUUGUGAUUCUAGCUCGGAUGAUGAUGAGGCCGUUGAUGAUGGAGAUGAUGAUGAUGAGGUUGAUGAUAUUUUCCUAUACUAGGAAACCUGCUGUAAUCAUGAUAGUUGUUUAAUGGAGGCGGAAAAACAACUUCUCUUGUGGCAGAGAAAGAGAAGGCAAAAGCAUCGUCAGAUGAGACUUCAAAACUUAAACGUUUUAGUAUAACAAUAGGAUUCCUGUGUUAGGCCUCUUGGAUGAUGACAGAUGACAGUGCAAACUGACCUUAAGAUUGUGCUUUCUGAAUAGUUCUUACUCAGGCUGUUUAAAGAGGAAAGGAAGACAAAUUUGAUAUUGUUCUAUGUGAUACAUCUGGCCGUAAGCGCUCUGCAUCUCUGAAAACAUCUGCUGUAAACUUUUUUUUUUUUUGGGUGGUUUUGUUUUAAGCAACUUCAUUUCCUUAGGUCUUCAUACGAAUUACAGUCUCAUGGAGGAGUUGAUAGCCUGUAAAAAAGCUGUGGGUAAAGUAGUUUCCGGUGCUCCUAAUGUAAGAAGCUUAAUAACUUCCAUAUCAUUAAAGUUGCUAUUUAAUUUAACAGAAAUGGUUGUCUUGUUGCAA